rnacentral:rRNA from 1 species
CCUACGGGAGGCAGCAGUGGGGAAUUUUGGACAAUGGGCGCAAGCCUGAUCCAGCCAUGCCGCGUGCGGGAAGAAGGCCUUCGGGUUGUAAACCGCUUUUGUCAGGGAAGAAACGCGCCGAGCUAAUACCUCGGCGUAAUGACGGUACCUGAAGAAUAAGCACCGGCUAACUACGUGCCAGCAGCCGCGGUAAUACGUAGGGUGCAAGCGUUAAUCGGAAUUACUGGGCGUAAAGCGUGCGCAGGCGGCUUUGCAAGACAGAUGUGAAAUCCCCGGGCUCAACCUGGGAACUGCAUUUGUGACUGCAUGGCUAGAGUGCGGCAGAGGGGGAUGGAAUUCCGCGUGUAGCAGUGAAAUGCGUAGAUAUGCGGAGGAACACCGAUGGCGAAGGCAAUCCCCUGGGCCUGCACUGACGCUCAUGCACGAAAGCGUGGGGAGCAAACAGGAUUAGAUACCCUGGUAGUCCACGCCCUAAACGAUGUCAACUGGUUGUUGGACGGCUUGCUGUUCAGUAACGAAGCUAACGCGUGAAGUUGACCGCCUUGGGGAGUCGGCGCAAGGUUGAACGUUCAAGGAUUGACGGCUUGNGAGNGCGAGGCGACGACGAGGGAGGAGG